GCGGGCGUAGCUCAGUGGUAGAGCAUAACCUUGCCAAGGUUGGGGUCGCGAGUUCGAGCCUCGUCGCCCGCUCCA
rnacentral:tRNA from 1 species